rnacentral:rRNA from 1 species
GGACGAACGCUGGCGGCGUGCUUAACACAUGCAAGUCGAGCGAUGAAGUUUCCUUCGGGAAACGGAUUAGCGGCGGACGGGUGAGUAACACGUGGGUAACCUGCCUCAUAGAGGGGAAUAGCCUUCCGAAAGGAAGAUUAAUACCGCAUAAGAUUGUAAUGCCGCAUGGUAUAGCAAUUAAAGGAGCAAUCCGCUAUGAGAUGGACCCGCGUCGCAUUAGCUAGUUGGUGAGGUAACGGCUCACCAAGGCGACGAUGCGUAGCCGACCUGAGAGGGUGAUCGGCCACAUUGGGACUGAGACACGGCCCAGACUCCUACGGGAGGCAGCAGUGGGGAAUAUUGCACAAUGGGGGAAACUCUGAUGCAGCGACGCCGCGUGAGUGAAGAAGUAAUUCGUUAUGUAAAGCUCUAUCAGCAGGGACGAUAAUGACGGUACCUGAGGAGGAAGCCACGGCUAACUACGUG